CACGUAGGGGGCAAGCGUUGUCCGGAAUCAUUGGGCGUAAAGAGCUCGUAGGCGGUUCGGUAAGUCGGGUGUGAAACCUCCAGGCUCAACCUGGAGACGCCACCCGAUACUGCUGUGACUAGAGUCCGGUAGGGGAGCGUGGAAUUCCUGGUGUAGCGGUGAAAUGCGCAGAUAUCAGGAGGAACACCAGCGGCGAAGGCGGCGCUCUGGGCCGGAACUGACGCUGAGGAGCGAAAGCGUGGGGAGCAAACAGG
rnacentral:rRNA from 1 species